ensembl:lncRNA
AUAUAUAUAUAUAUAUGGCCAUCAUCAUAUAUUGAAUGGGGGAAUGUGGAAGCAGGGAGCAAACGUGUGCCAGGGAUAACUGCUGAAUAUUUCACAGCAAUCUGUGACCCCACAAAAUGUCAGUCCUUCUGCUCCCACAUUUUAAAUUCAGAAUGGUAUUUGGGUAUUAAUUGGAGCCAAGCUAUAGACUCUCAUAAGAAAUGCAUUGUUAUUUAAAUACUUAUAGGAUUCAGAACAAUUCUAUUUUAAUUAUUUUUAGGAGUCUGUGACCACAUUGCUGUUUUCAAAUGAAACCGUUCAUAUCUGCUCAAUAUCAGGGGUAUAUUUUGUGGUUCACUUAUUGCAAGUUUUUUUUCAUCCCCUCCCAUUGAGGCAACACUCUACUGUCAGAUUGUGUCACCUGCAUGAUCCAUGGAAAUGUAUUUAUCUAGUGUAUGAAGCAUGAAGGAAAUAUUUAAAGUGGACCUAUCACACACCUUUUUAAGUUCUUAGUUGUAUUUUCAUUAUCUACUAUUAUAAGUUGUCAUGCUGUUACAUUGCUGCUAGAUGGAUGAGUGGAUGGAUGGAUGGAUGGAUGGAUGGAUAGACAUGUUUAUGCUGCAGCAGCAUUCAUAACCGAGUAGACGAUAUAAAAUUCUAAAAUGUGCAAUAUAUUCAAGAAAAUAUAAUAGUAUUAUCUUAACUAACUCAACACUAGUGCAAAGAACUAAAGAAACAUACAUAGUCAGUGUGUCAGUAAUUCAUGAUGAUCAUAGAAACUUUACACUAUGUACAGCUGGUCGCUGGGAUUAAACUUGUUUAGUCUGAGAAAAUUGACACUCAAACAAAACUUCAUCAGUGGUCAAGUGGUUUAAUGGGCUCUCUGUGGAACCUUCUCUCCCUGCUCGCCCACUCACAGGCUGCGUUACUGUUUCACAGCCAUUAAACGUGCAAAAGACCUGUAAAAUGUGACGGUCAGACAUUUACAACCGUCGUUAUUUAACUGAAUCCACAAUACUGAAUGCUACUACAUUCAGAACUGUGGACCCACAACCAAAGCUAGCUGCCGUUGUAGCGCAGCGUGGCAGCGUGACAGUCAGCUAAAUACACAGCAACUCAAAUAACAUAGAAAGGACUAAACUUACAUCUUCCGGAGCUUCGCUUUAAAGGUGUUACUGACCCUCCUUCUGUAUUACCGCCACAAAACACAUACAUGGCUUUGGGCCCUACAGAAAUAAGAACCUAUUUUGAUCAUCUAUUUUUUGCACAGGGUUUUCAGAUGGAGCAGAGUUUCUGUGCAGGAUUUGUGUGGUAGGUGGUGUUUUAUGCAUACGCAGCACUUUUAAAUGAGAGCGUUAUUAUGUUGUAUUAUGAAGGAAAUGGAAAUUAUCCGAAGGGAUUGAAAGUCCAGAUAUCUCAAGCUGACUUUUUUAGGGAAUGGCAUCAUUCCCAUCAUUGAUUGCGAUUUAUGAUACUUAACCUCUAUUAAAAUACAAACCUCACAAACAUUAACUGCAUGAAUGAGGUACAUUGCCAAACCCGAUCUCUCAGGUACCAACCGUCGCAGAGUUGCAGGAGUCGAUAAAGAUCAUGUAAAACCUGACAUCCGUCAUCAUCUUCCCUGAGAUGGAUUGAGAAUCAAAGGGUUUGUCCUUUGGAACAAACACUUCUCACUUCCACCGUCUAACUCGCCCUCCUCAAGUGCCUGCGUGGCGGCUCAGGCUCUGUCACUACGGCUGCGCUCUGUGCGCCUCGGGGGGAAUGACAGUCUAUUUAUGUGUUGCAGCUAAAACUUGAGCUCAUCUCCAUGUUAAUUGCUCCACUUGGGGCAGCACACGCUCUCCCCCGCCACGAUUACACUGUGCAGUCACGAUAAUUAUAACAAUCUUGGUGGUGAUGUUCGGCUGGUGCGGAGAAAACAGGUGAGGAGGAUGACAGAGGGUAAAUUACAGGGGGGAGGAAAAGAAAGGACCAUUUUAGCAUUCAAUUGCCGCCGGAAUAGGAACAUUCGUCAGAUUGGCCUCUGUUUCUAGGCACCGGAGCCCUGAGCCUUCACCAGUGAUUUAUAUGCCAGCCGUAUGGCCUCUCCUUAAAUUUGGAAUGUCCAGGACAGGAGAGCUAUAUAUAAAAAAUACUUUUAUUUUUAUUUAAAAUGUUGAAGAUUUAUAUUUUAAAAUUAGUCCACCAGGAAAGUCCAGUCACGAGCUGUCCGACAGCCGGGGUCCAUUUGCAGUCAAUCCGGCAGCAAUAAAUGUCACAGCACACUAGUCACCGCAAAGCAGAAACACGGCAUUACGUUCACCCAUACAUUCCCAUCCGGCUGACAAAUACACCCUCUUGGACUAGAUUCAUUCGAUGGCCCUGGAACUGGUGGGAAACACAUUUCUCCGGGCUCGGGCGCUGUGCUCUUCAUCAGAGGCUCGGCAGCCGCAGUCAUUGAGAGAAGCUGCUUCUUCGCUGCUUCCCUUUUAAAAGUUAGUUCAGGUUAGCGUGAAGUAGACGGUGGCUAAAAAUGGAACGGGGCUUUUCUUUGGUGCCUACUGACAGCUACUGAUGUGUUGGACGGGUGUUAAUCAUUAAUUAUACUUUUCAACCUUGUUUACUGAGCCUUUUAUUCGCUUUCAGCUUUCCCCAUCCUUACUUUUAAUCGAUUUCAUACUCACAGCGUGAAAGCACAUUACAGUGGUUUUUGAUGGCCAUCAAGAAACACCCCUGAAUUUCAACACUUUGUUGAAAAACCUUCCAAGAGUGAAGAGGAAAGAGAAACCACGGAUUCCAAGAAGCAUACGUCUACCGAAACAAUGGUCCUAAUGUCUCAGUGACUUCUUAUUUUGUGUUUGUUACUAUCGAGACAAGUAAUACCGUAAUUUCCGGAGUGCAGAGCGCACCUGAGUAUAAGCCGCACCACCUAAAUUUAGAAAGAAAGACAAAUGUGUACAUAUACAAGCCGUACCUGUCUGUAGGCCGCAGGUGUCCACUCUGUAACAUGAGGUAUUUACACAGAAGGAUGAUACACAGACAUUUUUUAUUUUUAAUCACUGGAAAUAUAUGUAUUUUUCCAAAAAUUGCCUGUAACACGGCACUAAACCUGCACUAACACGGCAGAAAAAACGGGAGUGGCGAUUCGGCUUUCAGUCGGAUCUGCACGGUGGAAACACCACGGCCGUCUGGUGUAAGUAAGUUCUUCAUGUUGCCGUCUCCAACAUCUCAAGUUUAAGCGCAGCCGCUCUGUUUCCUUCUGCGACAGACAGCUUAGUUGCCCGUAACUUAAAUGCUGCAACACAUGCAUUCCUACGUGUAUUUUCCAUGACAAUUGUUUGAAUAUGAUGCGCAAAAGGGUUGAUCGAAACACAACCACACGUCUUCCUCGGCGCAUUCUCUCGCUUUCACGUUUCUCGUUAGCCUGUAAAAGAUGAUACAUUAGCCGCACUGUUGUAUAAGCCGCAGGGUUCAAAACGUGGGGAAAAAAAUAGCGGCUUAUAGUUCGGAAUUUACGGUAGUUUGGAAUUGUAAGUAAGUAAGUAAGUAGCAAAAUAUGUUUGCCUAAAGAUAACUCCCUCAAGGGUUUACAUUUUAUUAGUGAAAAUUUAGGCUAAUUCAGAAGUGCAAGAACUGCAAUUAUUCUUCCAAAGAAAGUCAUUUCCAUUAGAACACAAUGUCGAAUCAAUGUGAACGUUUUAUGUAGAGCAUUUUGCCGCAGUUUGAUCAAAUAUUAUUAUUACUAUUUAUUUGUUUUAACACCUACAGUUUUAAUAGUACUUUAGAUUCAAAGCAAAAAUAUUGACCCUUUUGAGCAGAAAUAAUAGUAAUUUCAACGGCUGUUUGCACAUUGUUGGUUUAUCAGUUUCACACUUAAGUCCUACUGUAAAUCGUAUCAAAGACAAUUAAAAUCAUUGUAUGACUCAUUUUCCCUCUGAGGAGAUCAAGGCUUUAUUUUUAUCACUUUCUCUGGCGAACAAAGGAGGUUGUGUGACUCAUGCAUUCCGUAUUCGUUCGGGGCUCCUCCUCCGCCACAUCCAUCUGUUUAUCUUUACCCGUAAAGAAUUGUGGAUUCUGUGGAACAGAAAAAACAAUGACGGUUGGAAUGUGAACAAAGCCCCGUGUAAAGAAUAGCUCUGUUGGUUGGAUGCAAACAAAGGAAGUGCAGUUAUUUCCAGCUUCUUUCUUCAUUGCUUCACCCAGAAGCCAACAGACUCAUUUCCAUUAUGAUCUUCUUUGGCUCGCAGUACUUUGUCAUUGCCUUGCGGCGGGACCAGAUAUCUAUGUCCCGUUAAUACAUUUAAAUCUAAUUCGAUUUCAGACUCACACCUUGGGCAGAACCACAUUCUGGGAACACAGUUGAAGUAUACGUUUACACCACUAGAUGGGGGGAUGGUCCUAAGAAACAGAUACGAGUUUAAUGACCGCUAAUGCACCUCCAGUAGGAAUGUGUUGUGUUGUUCCGGCUCGUCUAUUUAAAACAAUGAUGGCUAACAUCUACUCGGGGGGGCGGGUAUUACCUUCUUUACACUGGCUUAUAUAGUGUGACUGACUGACCGACCUUUGCUGUUUAUGCUCUACCUCCGUUUCAUUGGAUGCAAUAAUAUGUUUGCAUUACAUCUAGUUGACCUUAUUCUAUAGGAAGCUCAGAUUCAAAUCCUCUAUAAACGACAUCUUUCUAGCAUCUUUCCCCAGAUAGCUUGUUUCUAAUGGGAGCCUGGAGCAGCCGUCCCCCCACCUGCGGCUCCAGGGUCAAAACCAAAUUAAACAUGUAAAAACGUGCAAAAAAAAAAUUUGUUUUCACUAUACAGAAAUCACAUAUGUGAGUUUAGAUACUGUUUAACACAGAUACAAUCGAUGGUGCUUGUCAGUUAUGAUGAAUCCAAGUUUAACAUGGAGUAUUUUUGUACAAGAGCUUGACUAAACAAACAACAGAUGAACCAGACUCAAGUGAGAUAAAAAUAACUGCAUGGUGCCUCCCUCACCCCUAAGCUCUGGCUCACUGCCCUGAUAGAAGUGUAAACGGGGAAACAUGAGGAUAAAAGACAGAGAGCAGCACCCGGGCUUAUAUUUACUGACAAUGAAUCUAAUAUAACAAGAUGAAAUGUGGCUCCUAAUGUAUAUUUGGGAAAUUCAUCCUUUAUUUAUUCAUAUCUAGCUGAUCACAUCAGAUAUUUGUUAGCUGGAAAAAUGUUAUUGUUUGUAUGAAUCCGACUAUGACGAGGUUAUUAUUUAUAUACUGGCUGUGAUUAGCAGUGGGGAGAACUGAGUAAAUUGACGUGUGUGGGUUUCUUGAUGUUGUUGUUGUUGUUACUUUCCUGACACCAGGUGGAGCUCUCCGCUCGGCAGCCACGCUGAAGCCGCUCUGCACUUUUCCCAGAGGGUCAGCGGGUUGAAUCUCACUCCAAGCAUCUUACUUACAGGUGCACACGCAAAGCCACAGGGGAGCUAUUAAUAGAAAAGGUAACUCAAUGACACCGUUUGAGCAACUUCUCUCAAUGCUGAUACUGUAUGUGGGUGUGCAUGUAGAUGUUAUAACAAUACGACAGUUUUCAAACUAUAAUCCAAAGCCAUCUGGGUUUGACAACAGAUGACAUCACAGGGUGCCUGUACGGGUGUGAGUGGGCGGGCGAUGACAUGCAGUGUUGAGUACAUUUACCGGAUCUGAAAAGAGUUUUAGGAUUAGUGAAGAAGACGCUGCCAACAAAGAUGACUAACAGUGAGAACAAACAUCCAGCAAGUCAACGUGUCCCGUUGUUCAUGUAAAAUGUCGCUCAUGUCAAGCCCUUCUGUCCCUCGAAUUAGAGGGGUCAAAGGUUGCAGACAAAGGAUCCUGGUACACAAACUUGGUUUCUAAAAAGGUCUUUGGGUUCAAUCCUUCAAAGCGUCCUUUGGGCAAAGUAAUGCUGAAAAUCAAUUUAACGGCACUCAGCUGAGCUUUGAACGGCUUCUUGAAGAAGCUGAUCUCCCGAUAUGUGACAUAACUCCAUCUGGGACGAAUUAAAGACUCCUUGGCAACAAUAGCUUUUCUUACUCAAUAUCAAUGUUCAAAUGCCAAAAGCUGAGCACGAUUGUUUUGUGCUCUUUGGUUGUCCCUCACACGUCCCUUGAGUAUUACCCCCCUGGUGUAAUACUCACUGGUGCUUUCCAGAUGCACAAUCACAGGAUUGUGUCGGUACAACACAACAUCCAGCCUGCCGCUGCAGGUUAGCGCUUUGUGUGUGUUGGGGUGCGUCCUUUCUGGCCAGCUGACAGCUGAUCUGCUUAAAGGCUUUACUGUAGGUGCCAGGCGGCCGGGAUAAAGCGGCAGCGGUGGUGCUUCGCUCUCCCCUCGGACUUGAUCCACAGGGUUAAUCGGAACAGGUUUGAAACCAGUUCUUUGGCGGCGAGCCCAGUCCAGGCACAUGCAGGCACAGAUAGGUUAGUCACUGUUGUGGUUAUGCUGAAACAGCAUCUAAGGUCUCUCUGUGCAGCCUUAGAGUUCCUGCGUCCUCGGCCCACUUUUACACUGGCUUUCUUUGUUGAUUUGUAAUUAUUAAACAUAUUUUAAACCUAAAGUAUUUCAAUAAAUUUUUCAUUUUUUUUUUUAUAUAUAUGUGUAAUUAUUAUAUCUAAUAACAAAAUUAGAGUAUGAGAUGUUUUUGUUUCACAUAUAUUUAACUUUAACUUUAAAUUUCAUAAAUAUGAAUUCCAGUACCUUUUGCUUCUCUAAAGGAUUUAAUCUUCCUUUGACCAUAAAUGGCAGGUGGUUUGCUAUUGUAGCAACCCUUCCUAACACUCCAAAGUGCAUUUUUCCACUGUUUAUAUUUGGUUGAACGUAUUCCAAAAUCUGUAGAUGAGCCGGAACAACACUGCUCUUGCAAAACACGGCAGCACCGUAGUUGUGACAUUAAACAUCCAGGAUUAUCAAAAGAAUUCUUUUACUUUCUUUGCAUGAAAUAUGUGAUGAAUUCAAUAGUGUUUGUCUCCUCUCUCUCCGUCUUUUCUAUUAAAGCUGAAAGCAAAGAGAGACACUGGAAAGGCAGAUGCAGACACAGACACUCUCAUCAUGCAGCCCGCUUGUUUGCCAAAGUCUCCAUCUUCACUGCUGUACUGAGCCGACAUGAGGAGUCAGAUUAAGAGCUCUAAUCGCCCGCGUUGCAGCCUCAAUAACUACCGACUGCCUUCCUCCACUCUGAUUAUCAAAUUCAUAUUUAAUUAUAUUAUGGACCAAGAUGAAUACAUGUCCUCACAUCUGUUCCUCAGCACGGGACAACGUUAAUACAUUUUUAGUCCACUUUCUGCCACGAUAAUAAAACAAGCAGGUCAACAAGCAAACUUUAGCGUUUCAAAAUGUAUUUGUAAGAAGAUCACAUGACUGAUAGUACGGGAAAGAUGUCCCUUGUAAUGAUGACUCUAAGUGCCCCUUUAGCCGUGGAGCGUUUCAGCCUCUUUCAGCUCAUUAUUGUCUAAUUUUGUAAUUUUCUCAGCAUUGAAUUUAAUUAAAUUUGUCUUUUUAUUUUUUCCUAAACGUGAUGUUGGUUACGCAAGAAAUCCAAACCAUAGUCUUUUCCUUACUAUUGCAAAAACUGAUCUGAAUGCUGAAUGUUUUCUCUCAUAUAAUAAGGAGGUUUAAAUGAAUAGCGUUCACGCCUAUUAGAUGACAUUUUGAUCAGAAACCCAUGACCUGGUUAUCUUCCAUCUGGACCUCUUGGCAAUAAUAUCUUUUCUCACUCAUUCUGAGCACAAGUACAUAACCUUCAUCAUCUGCACUACGAGUCCUAAAUGACUAACAUCAAUAUUGAUGCAAAAAGCUGAGCACGGUUCUUUUGUGCUCUUUGGCUGUCCCGAAGAACAUUAACGCCUAUUAGAUGAGACUGUCAUGACAUUUUCAACAGAAACCCAUGACCUGGUUAUCUUGCAAAGUAUUUGCAAAAUAAAGUAAAUAUUUGAAUAUAAGACAUGUAUGCUCUCGAGAAGAUUCAUCCCCUAAAAAGCAUUGAUCGAGCCCAACAUUCGAAUCAUGGCUGAUGGCUUUGCUGAUACAAGAGGAUGGCGUUAUGAUGCCGUUAAGUCUAAUAUUUAGGAAGUGGGGAAAAAAAGAAAUUGCUGUACCUUUAGCUAGCACCUUUGUCAAUUGCAUGUUCUUUCUCUAGUAAUAGUAAGUAAUUAAUCAACCUCAGGACUGUGAUCAUGAAAUGCAAAGGGUUCAUCCUCGGGCCACCCAGAGAGCCGUUGUGUCUGUAAAGCCAACGGCGAAACGUGCAUCACCAAGUUUUAGAUGGCAGAGCAGAUACGAACUGAUUUUAUUGCCCACUCCUGAAGGAAAUGAAAUGAUGCGAAGGACAUCCCAAGCGAAACAAAGCGCAUUGUCCCUUUUGAAAAACACUGGUACGUCUAUUGCGUUGCAUGAACUAAUGCAAUGGCACGAGCAGCUGUUUAAGACAUCAGCGCUAAUGAAGAGCGUAGGCUCGUGACUGCAGCAGACAAACUACGUCUUGCUUGUCCCUCCGGCGUAGUGCCUGACGUUUGAACACUCAGAUAUGGAUCUACAACAGAGCAAUCCAGCCCUAUCAGUUUCCUUUUUCUUCAUCAAGUUCCUGUGGGAGGCUGAUGACGUCGGGAAAGUCUCUGCGCCUGGUAGCUGCCAUUGUUUGCCACUUUGGGACAGUGAAAAUAUGCAUUUGUCUGAGAGCAAUAUGCAGAAAGGUGUAGAAUGUAAACAAACAGACUCACUGGUUCGUCCACAUUGCUGCGUUCACACUUGACCCCCACUGCAGCUGCAGCCAAAGCAUGCAUCUCAUUUCCCUUUAUUGGGUUGACAAGCAGGUUUGAUGACAAUUGGCUGCAGAACAUAUAUUAGUUAGAGUUAAUUCAAUUUAUUUUUCACAUUUGAAAGUUUUAAUUUGUGUCCCUAUUUCAGAUUGACUGGCAAUUAGUCCUCUUGCCACACGCAUUUUUAUCUCCUGUGUGUGUGUGAGUUAUAAGCAUUAGAAGUCUGUGUUCUUGUUGACAGGAUGGUUUUGUACACAUAUUGUUUUAUUUCUGUUUGUUUAGUUUUAUUUUGAAAUCCUCGGCGUCCUGUGUUUUUUUAAUUCCUGUCCAUCAAUGUUCCCUCCUUCUUUCUGUGAUCAGCUGGGCUUCAUUAGUCCGGUGGUCCUCGCUGUGGCCCCUCAGGUUUUGUCUUCUACCAAUCAGCUGUCAGGCGGCCUUUGUGUCGUCCAACCUGUGUCUUAUUGUCUGAUUAGUUUAUUGUGUAUUUAUUGUCCUGUCUUUUGUCUGCUGGCUGUUGGUUAGUCUGCAAUGUCCCCUGUCGCUGCUGCUGGUGUGUUUUGUGUGGUGUUCUCCCACUCUGGUUUGCCUCUUUGGUAUUUCAUUUUUUUACCUCUCCUGCUCCUAUAAGUUUUGUUUUGGACAUUCCUGGUUCAUGAAAAGCCCCGUGUAUCAUUCCUCUGUUCCACCGGUUCUACCCGCACUUGGAUCC